rnacentral:lncRNA from 1 species
AAACACCUUCUAUGGGAAAAAAGAACUAAUGCAAUAACUUUCAUCCUUGUGAACAAGAAAUGAAUCUGUUUCUAUAGCACUGAUGGAAGAAGAAAAAGUGACUGGGACUACCCUGAAAAUUGCAAUAAACAAAUUACUGGUUAUGAUAUGUGUUGGAUACCUAGAGUGUUUCUUGCUUCUCAUUACCACAAACUUUCUUAUAGAUGAAAGAUUAUGCUCUUGUCUAUGAAUUUCUCUAGGAAAUAUGCCC